UACGUAUGGUGCAAGCGUUAUCCGGAUUUACUGGGUGUAAAGGGAGCGUAGACGGUUGUGUAAGUCUGAUGUGAAAGCCCGGGGCUCAACCCCGGGACUGCAUUGGAAACUAUGUAACUAGAGUGUCGGAGAGGUAAGCGGAAUUCCUAGUGUAGCGGUGAAAUGCGUAGAUAUUAGGAGGAACACCAGUGGCGAAGGCGGCUUACUGGACGAUUACUGACGUUGAGGCUCGAAAGCGUGGGGAGCAAACAGG
rnacentral:rRNA from 1 species